rnacentral:pre_miRNA from 1 species
GAUUUCAAUUGAAAAAGUCAUCAACAACAAAGUUGAAUAACUCAUCAAGAUCUAAAACUUUUAUUUUUGUUAUUUCUUCAUCCGACGAAAUGUUAGUAAUAUUAUUCAUAAAUUUUACAUAUAUGUGUUAUAGUUUAUAAAACCAGAUAAGAGAUAUGUCAAUUUUGUGAACAAUGUUACUAUCACUUUGUCGUAUGAAGAAAUGACCAAAAUAAAAGUUUUAGAUCUUGAUGAGUUAUUCAACUUUGUUGUUGAUGACUUUUUCAGUUGAUAUC